ACGCUCGACACCUACGGGGGGCAGCAGUGGGGAAUAUUGGGCAAUGGGCGCAAGCCUGACCCAGCAACGCCGCGUGAAGGAAGAAGGCCCUCGGGUUGUAAACUUCUUUUAACAGGGACGAAGUAAGUGACGGUACCUGUUGAAUAAGCCACGGCUAACUACGUGCCGGCAGCCGCGGUAAUCUGAGCGGGCUGGCAAGGC
rnacentral:rRNA from 1 species